UGUUCUCUUCAGCAGUCAUUGAAUCAGUUCUGUGUUCAUCCCUCAAGGAUUGCUUUGGUGCUGCUACAAAGAAGAAGAAAAUCCGACUGCAAGGGACAAUUAGGAGUGGCGAAAUGAUCCUUGCUACCCUGCUACCCACUAAGGAGGAUUUGCCCACUUCAAGUACCAAGACAAGAGCAGGAAAAAUUCUCUUGGACUGUCGUCAGUAUUACCCCACGACUGAAGACUUUGUAUGAAAUACUUACCCUGGAACCUUUGCACACUUGCUGUUGUUGAGUCAUUCGAGGCGCCCGAGGAUCCUUAGAAGCACUAGACUCGAAAUGUGUGCGGCUCCGCAGUUCUCCGAAGAGAAGAAGAAGAUGACAGGGUGAUAGACAUGGAGGUAGAGGAGGUGCUUGACUAGCCUGUGCCACUGGGGCUAGCGGGGGAGAUCCCGAUCAGAAGCUGCAAACAAAGCCUUGAAGUGCCUCUUGAAUGUCGGGUCUGGUCAGAGCAAGUCCUGCGGAACCCCCGUUGGCAGGCGGUGCAGGUGAUCGAAGCAAAGUCACGGAAAAGGCUGCCUCCCACACGGCGCGAGUCAGACUGAAGUGAUCUGGCUUCGUAAUGGUCCCCAGGAGGAGAGCCCCUUGAAGCCGCUUAUCCUCACAAGGGUCACAGGAAAGAUGGAGCCUGUCCCAGCGAUCUUCAGGCGAAAGGCAGACCACACCCUGAACUGGUCGCCGGUCAGUCGCAGGGCAGAUCUUGACACCAUCUCUGAGCAGGGAAUCGAUCCCACGCUGCCCGCACCAAAGGCAGGCGUGUGUACCGCUCGCUACACCAUCGAUUUAAUCCAAUCCAGAGCCAUCCGAUCCGGACCGCUUUGAAGUACUGGGCCCGGCGCCAGCACCGUGGACUUGCCGCCGGCACGUUUCGCCUUCCUGCGUGGACUUUGCGUGGUCUCAGAGUAUCUGGGCGAAAGCCAUGUAAGCAUGUGCACCCCGUGCUUCCUUCCACGUUGCGAAAUCCUCCACUUGGGGGCCGUUGAAGACUAGAAUUGUCCG